GCUCUUUGGUGAUUCAUGAUAACUUAACGGAUCGCAUGGCCUUGCGCCGGCGACGGUUCAUUCAAAUUUCUGCCCUAUCAACUUUCGAUGGUAAGGUAUUGGCUUACCAUGGUUUCAACGGGUAACGGGGAAUUAGGGUUCGAUUCCGGAGAGGGAGCCUGAGAAACGGCUACCACAUCCAAGGAAGGCAGCAGGCGCGCAAAUUACCCAAUCCCGACACGGGGAGGUAGUGACAAUAAAUACUGAUACAGGGCUCUUUUGGGUCUUGUAAUCGGAAUGAGUACAAUUUAAACCCCUUAACGAGGAACAAUUGGAGGGCAAGUCUGGUGCCAGCAGCCGCGGUAAUUCCAGCUCCAAUAGCGUAUAUUAAAGUUGUUGCAGUUAAAAAGCCCGUAGUUGAACCUUGGGCCUGGCUGGCCGGUCCGCCUCACCGCGUGUACUGGUCCGGCCGGGCCUUUCCUUCUGGAGAGCCCCAUGCCCUUCACUGGGCGUGCGGGGGAACCAGGACUUUUACUUUGAAAAAAUUAGAGUGUUCAAAGCAGGCCUUUGCUCGAAUACGUUAGCAUGGAAUAAUAGAAUAGGACGUGCGGUCCUAUUUUGUUGGUUUCUAGGACCGCCGUAAUGAUUAAUAGGGAUAGUCGGGGGCAUCAGUAUUCAAUUGUCAGAGGUGAAAUUCUUGGAUUUAUUGAAGACUAACUACUGCGAAAGCAUUUGCCAAGGAUGUUUUCAUUAAUCAGUGAACGAAAGUUAGGGGAUCGAAGACGAUCAGAUACCGUCGUAGUCUUAACCGUAAACUAUGCCGACUAGGGAUCGGGCGAUGUUUCUAUCUUGACUCGCUCGGCACCUUACGAGAAAUCAAAGUUUUUGGGUUCUGGGGGGAGUAUGGUCGCAAGG
rnacentral:rRNA from 1 species